rnacentral:lncRNA from 1 species
GUACAGAGUCAAUGUGGAGGCUAUAUACAGGGGGUACUGGUACAGAGUCAAUGUGGAGGCUAUAUACAGGGGGGUACCGGUACAGAGUCAAUGUGGAGGCUAUAUACAGGGGGGUACCGGUACAGAGUCAAUGUGGAGGCUAUAUACAGGGGGGUACCGGUACAGAGUCAAUGUGGAGGCUAUAUACAGGGGGGUACCGGUACAGAGUCAAUGUGGAGGCUAUGUACAGGGGGUACCGGUACAGAGUCAAUGUGGAGGCUAUAUACAGGGGGUACCGGUACAGAGUCAAUGUGGAGGCUAUAUACAGGGG